CCUACGGGUGGCAGCAGUGAGGGAUAUUGCACAAUGGGGGAAACCCUGAUGCAGCGACGCCGCGUGGGCGAAGAAGUAUUUCGGUAUGUAAAGCCCUAUCAGCAGGGAAGAAGAAAUGACGGUACCUGAGUAAGAAGCACCGGCUAAAUACGUGCCAGCAGCCGCGGUAAUACGUAUGGUGCAAGCGUUAUCCGGAUUUACUGGGUGUAAAGGGAGCGCAGGCGGCACGGCAAGCCUGAUGUGAAAGCCCGCGGCCCAACCGCGGGACUGCAUUGGGAACUACCGGGCUGGAGUGCCGGAGAGGUAGGCGGAAUUCCUAGUGUAGCGGUGAAAUGCGUAGAUAUUAGGAGGAACACCGGCGGCGAAGGCGGCCUGCUGGACUGAAACUGACGUUGAGGCACGAAGGCCAGGGGAGCGAAAGGGAUUAGAUACCCCGGUAGUC
rnacentral:rRNA from 1 species